AACCAAAGCCUAAACCUGGUGAGAGAGAGAAGGCAAAGGGAUAGAUGGCAAACCGGCGGCACUUCUUGGAAUCAAAAAGGUCCCAAUCGCUUCCUUUUCAGCAAUUUCAGGCACUUUUAACUCUCUUUCCAAAGAACUUUUCAUCUUUCCCUCACGGUACUUGUUUGCUAUCGGUCUCGCGCCAGUACUUAGCUUUAUGUGAAACCUACCACACAUUUUGCGCUCAAAUCCCGAUGAACGCGACUCUAUAAAAGCGUACCGUACGUGGAACAAAAAACGCAGGGGAAGGACGGGAUUCUCACCCUCUAUGAUGUUCUUUCCCAAGAAACUUAACCCUGCGCUUCCACUGGUAACGCCUCUCGAGGCUACAAGUCAACAGCUCGGAAAGAGCAGUUGAUUUCCACUUUGAGCUGAUCCCGGUUCACUCGCCGUUACUAAGGGAAUCAUAGUUAUUUUCUUCUCCUCCGCUUAAUAAUAUGCUUAAGUUCAGCGGGUAACCUCGCCUGAUUUCAGGUCUG
rnacentral:rRNA from 1 species